rnacentral:rRNA from 1 species
AGAGUUUGAUCAUGGCUCAGAAUCAACGCUGGCGGCGCGCCUAACACAUGCAAGUCGAACGAGAAAGUGGAGCAAUCCAUGAGUAAAGUGGCGUACGGGUGAGUAACACGUGGGUGAUCUACCUCUUAGUGAGGAAUAACCCUGGGAAACCGGGGCUAAUACCGCAUAAGCCUGAGAAGGGAAAGCAGCAAUGCGCUGAGAGAGGAGCCCGCGGCCGAUUAGCUAGUUGGUGAGGUAAAAGCCCACCAAGGCAGAGAUCGGUAGCCGGCCUGAGAGGGCACACGGCCACACUGGCACUGAAACACGGGCCAGACUCCUACGGGAGGCAGCAGUGGGGAAUCUUGCACAAUGGGGGAAACCCUGAUGCAGCGACGCCGCGUGAGCGAUGAAGCCCUUCGGGGUGUAAAGCUCUUUCGUCAGGGAAGAUCAUGACGGUACCUGGAGAAGCAGCUGCGGCUAACUACGUGCCAGCAGCCGCGGUAAUACGUAGGCAGCAAGCGUUGUUCGGAGUUACUGGGCGUAAAGGGUGUGUAGGCGGUUCUUUAAGUUUGGUGUGAAAUCUCCCGGCUCAACCGGGAGGGUGCGCCGAAUACUGAGGGACUAGAGUGUGGGAGAGGAAAGUGGAAUUCCUGGUGUAGCGGUGAAAUGCGUAGAUAUCAGGAGGAACACCGGUGGUGUAGACGGCUUUCUGGACCAUAACUGACGCUGAGACACGAAAGCGUGGGUAGCAAACAGGAUUAGAUACCCCGGUAGUCC